GAUGAACGCUGGCGGUAUGCCUAACACAUGCAAGUCGUACGAGAGUUUUUAACUCUAGUGGCGGACGGGUGAGUAACACGUGAGAAUUUGCCUUUAGGAGGGGGACAACAAUUGGAAACGAAUGCUAAUACCCCAUAUGCUUUCGAGUGAAAUGGAUUUUAUCCGCCUAGAGAGAAGCUCGCGGCUGAUUAGCUUGUUGGUAAGGUAAGAGCUUACCAAGGCGACGAUCAGUAUCUGGUUUGAGAGGACGAUCAGACACACUGGAACUGAGACACGGUCCAGACUCCUACGGGAGGCAGCAGUGGGGAAUUUUCCGCAAUGGGCGAAAGCCUGACGGAGCAAUACCGCGUGAGGGAAGAAUGCCUAUGGGUUGUAAACCUCUUUUUCUAGGGAGGAAGUAAAAUAGACGUGUACCUGAAGAAUAAGCAUCGGCUAACUACCGUG
rnacentral:rRNA from 1 species